CAAAGAGCUGGAAGCAAGACCGUUUGUGGCUUGUCUCCUUUGUAGGCAAUGACUCAGCGCUUUGUGACUUCCACCUCUAGAGCAACGUAGAACACGGCUUAGAGGAGACUUACCAAGUAGGCGACAUCAGGGCUGGAAACAAACUCUGUUUCUGGUCUUUGACUUAGAGGUUCCUGGUAGGCUGUAAGAGCCCAGUGGAAAGUGAAUUCUUUCCCACCUUGCGAAAGAGCUGGAAGCAAGACGGUCUGUGGCCUGUCUCCUCUUGAGGAAACAGGGCAGGACUUUUUGCCAUUCAUCUUUAGGGCAAUGUAGUUCACGGCACAGCAGAAGUUCUACUUCAGUGAGAUGUGGGCUGGGAAGAAAUUGGGUUUCCCAGGACUUUGUAAGAGAUGUUCCUGGUAAGCUGCAACAGCACUGUGGAUGGAGAAUUGUUUCUUAGCUUCCCAAAGAGCUGGAAGCAAGACGCUUUGUGGCCUGUCUCCCUUUGAAGAAACAAGGCAGGAGUUUGUGCCUUGCAACUCUAGGGCAAUGUAGGACACGGCAGGGCACAAGUUCUACUUCAGCGAGUCCAGGGCUGGAAAGAAACUCCGUUUCACAGGCAUUUAUGAGGGAUGUUCCCGGUAAGCUGUAAGAGCACUGUGGAGAGCGAGUUAUUUCUUCGAUUCCCAAAGAGCUGGAAGCAAGACCGUUUGUGGCUUGUCUCCUUUGGAGGCAAUGAAUCAGUGUUAGUGACUUCGACCUCCAGAGCAAUGUAGGACAUGGCUUAGAGCAGAAGAUCCAAGGCGGCGGGAUAAGUGCUCCAAACAAACUGCGUCAGGACUUUGUAUGAGAGGUUCCGAGUAGGCUGUAAGAGCCCAGGGGAAAGUGAGUUCUUUCUCACCUUGAGAAAGAACUAGAAGGAGGACGGUCUGCAGCCCAUCUCCACUUAAGGAAGCCAGAGAGUGAUUUGUGACUUCCACCUCUAGGGCAAUGUAUGACACGGCAGAGCGGAAGAUCUGCUUCAGCGAGAUCGGGGCUGGAAAGAAACUGCGUUUCACAGGCCUUUGGAGGAGAUGUUCCCGCUAGGCUGAAAGAGGACUGUGGAGAGCGAGUUGUUUCUUAGCUUCCCAAGGAGAUGUACGCAACACCGUUCGUGGCUUGUCUGCUUUGGAGGCAAUGACUCAGCACUUUGUCACUUCCACCUCUAGAGCGAUGUACGACGUGGCUUAGAGCCAAAUUUCCAAGGCGGUGAGAUCAGGGCUGGAAACAAACUGCAUUUCAGGUCUUUGUAUCAGAGGUUCCCGGUAGGCUGUAAGAGCCCGGGGGAAAGCAAGUUCUUUCUCACCUUGCCAAGGAACUGGAAGCGAGACGGUCUGUGGCCUGUCUCCUCUUAAGGAAGCCAGGCAGGCCAUUGUGAGUGUCACCUCUAUGGCAAUGUAUUACACGGCAGAGCAGAAGUUCUACUUCAGUGAGAUCAGGGCUGGGAAGAAACUGCGUUUCACAGGCCUUUGUAGGAGAUGUUGUCGGUAGGCUGUAAGAGCACUGAUGAGGACGAUGUGUUUCUUACCUUCCCAAAGAGCUGGAAGCAAGGCGCUUUCUGGCAUGUCUCCCCUUGAGGAAACAAGGCAGGACUUUGUGCCUUGCACCACUAGGUCAACGGAAGACACGGCCUAGCAGAAAUUCUACUUCACCGAGAUAAGGGCUGGAAAGAACUGCUUUUCACAGGCCUUUGUAAGAGAUGUUCCCGGUUGGCUGUAGGAGCACUGUGGAGAGCGAGUUGUUUCUUAGCUUCACGGAGAGCUGGAAUCAAGACCGUUUGUGGCUUGUCUCCUUGGGAGGCAAGGACUCAGUGCUUUGUCACUUCCACCUCUACAGCAAUGCAGGACAUUGCUUAGAACAGAAGUUCCAAGGCAGCCAGAUAAGGGAUGGGAACAAACUGCAUCUCAGGACUUUGUAUGAGAGUUUCAAGGUAGGCUGUAACAGCCCAAGGGAAAGCGAGUUCUUUCUCGCCUCGCCAAAGAGCUGGAAGCAAGACGUUCAGUGGCCUGUCUCCUCUUAAGGAAGCCAAGCAGGGCUCUGUGUCUUCCACCUCUAGUCAAUGUUUCACAUGGUAGAGCAUAAGUUCUACUUCAGCGAGAUCAGGGCCGGGAAGCAACUGCGUUUUACAGUCCUUGGUAAGAGACGUCCCCAGUAGGCUGUAAGAGCCCUGUGGAAAUCGAGUACUUUCUCACCUUGCCAAAGAGCUGGUUGCGAGACGGUCUGUGGCCUGUCUCCUCUUAAGGAACCACGGCAGGCCAUUGUGACUUCCACCUUUAGGGAAAUGUAUUACACGGCAGAGCAGAAGUUCUACUUCAGCGAGGUCAGGGCUGGGAAGAAACUGCGUUUCACAGACCUUUGUGAGAGAUGUUCCUGGUAGGCUGUAAGAGCACUAUGGAGAAGCACUUGUUUCUUAGCUUCCGAGACAUGGAAGCAAGACCGUUUGUGGCUUUUCUCCUUUGGAAGCAAUGACUCAUAGCUUUGUCACUUCCACAUCUAGAGCAAUGUAGAACUUGGCAGAGGAGAAGUUCUACUUCAGCGAGAUCAGGGCUGGAAAGAAACUGCGUUUCACCGGCCUUUGUGAGAGAUUUUCUUGGUAGGCUGUAAGAGCAGUGUGGGGAGUGACUUGUCGCUUAGCUUCCCAAAGAGCUGGAAACAGGACCGUGUUAGGCUUGUCUCCUGUGCCGACAAUGACUCAGCGCUUUGUGUCUUCCAUCUCUAGAUCAAUGUGGGACAUGGCGUAGAGCAGAAGUUCCAAGGCGCUGAGAUCAUGGCUGCAAACAAACUGCAUUUCAGGCCUUCGCAGGAGAGUUUCCUGGUAGGCUGUAAGAGCGCUGUGGAAAGCGAGUUCUUUCUCACCUUGCCAAAGAGCUGGAAGCGAGACGGUCUGUGGCCUGUCUCCUCUUAAGGAAGUCAGGCAGGCCAUUGUGACUUCCACCUCUAGGGAAAUGUAUUACACGGCACAGCAGAAGUUGUACUUCAGCAAAAUCAGGGCUGGCAAGAAACUGCGUUUCAAAGUCAUUCGUAAGAGAUGUUCCCGGUAGGCUCUAAGAGCAUUGAGGAGAGCGAGUUGUUCCUUAGCUUCCCAAAAAGCUGGACGCAAGACGCUUUGUGGCCUGUCUCGCCUUGAGGUAACAAGGCAGGAGAUUGUGCCUUGCACCUCUGGGGCAAUGUAGGACACGGAGAGUGGAAGUUCUACUUCAGCAAGAUCAAGUCUGGGAAGAAACUGCAUUUCCCAGGCAUUGUAAGAGGUGUUCCCGGUAGGCUGCAAGAGCAUUGUGGAGAGCCACUUGUUCCUUAGCUUCCCAAAGAGCUGGAAGCAAGACCGUUCGUGGCUUGUCUCCUUUGGAGGCAAUGAGUCAGCGCUUUGAGACUUCCAAUCUAGAGCAAUCUAGAACACGGCUUUUAGCAGAUGAUCCAACUGGGCGAGAUCAGGGCUGGAAACAAAGUGCACUUCAGACCUUUUUAUGAGAGGUUCCCGGUAGGCUGUAAGAGACCUGUGGAAAGCGAGUUCUUUCUCACCUUGCCAAACAGCUG
rnacentral:lncRNA from 1 species